GUGGGUAAACACAGUGUUUAGGAGAAAGACAUUAUUGGCAGAGUAAGAAACAAGGUUGAGUACUUAUCAUGUUUUUUUUUAAUCUAAUUAAUUUGCAUUUUAAUAAUCAGCAUUGAUUAGAUAAGACCAUAGAAGAUGGACAUAACUGGUCUUGAAUCCUAUAAUACCCACCUGCCUGUGCUGUGCUGGGGCAUCUGUCAAAGCAGUCUUCCCCCAGUGCAUGUCCAGUGCAAAAAAUAAAGCUGACGUCCUUCUGUUAAUUAUCUUGCCAAGCUUAGCUGAGGUUAAUAUAAAUCAUGAAGGCUGUUUUGAUUGCCACCUUUAAAGCAGAUUUUUCCACAGAUUGUUUUCAUGGUUUACAUUUUGAUACUUUGCACCUCGUCCUUGUCCUCCUUAUUUUUUUCUAAGAAGGUUGUCAUGUUUUCGUCAACCUGAGAAAGCUGAAAGGGUCCUCGUGGGAGUUUAGUAAAAGGUGAAACUCAAGACGGUCUCUAGUUAGUGUAGCGUUGGUUAAAGCAUCCUCUUUUCAGAGGCAGAAGGAGAAAGAAGGAAGGAGACAAAUAGGUUCCCACCAGCAGAGAGAGGUCAGCUCUCCUGGGAAGCUUCUACACUAUUCACUUAGAGUGAGGCGUGAUAGAAAAGAGUUUUUUUUUUUUUUUUACUUCAGUCUAGAGUGAAGAAAAGGCUCCCACCCAUAACUUCCCAAUCUACCUCAGAUGUCCACAACAACAGUAUGUAACAUCCGUCUCUCGCACACAAAUACACACUGCAUUAACCCGCUAAUGGAUUGACCCCCUCUGCUUUUGUUUUGCAGCAGAGAUCGCUUUCCUCCAGCUCAAUUGGAGAACAGCAGGCAAGCUUGAUUCCUUCAAGCGCCCAUCAUGAUGUUCACGAAUAGAUCAAUGAUAUUUCCUAUACAUUGUCCUGUACAGACCUGCAAUUUCACUAGGAAUAACAGAUGUGGUUCACAUGGUUCUGUUUUCCAGCACCGCAUUUGAUACAUUUGCGCAUUUUUGGUUUCAACAUAAACUGAGUUUGAAUUGCAUUAAGUUUAAAAAACAAAACAAAACAAAACUUAAUGUAUUUAUCAGAUGUACUAGUGUUAAUGUGUUUCAUAGACUCGUAUUCACUUGCAAGGAACACAGACUCUACAAUCAUUAGACAAGGUCUAGUGAAAGAUGGAUGGUAUGUAACAAUUUAGGACUACAUCCAGCUAGAUCCCCCUUAUACCACUGAGAGAGGGUGACAAACUGAGAAAAGAAUAAAAA
ensembl:lncRNA